GGAAAGUUGGCUCAAUUGGCACAGCAGUGGACUGCUACUCCACCGUCAGGAUUUCCCUGGCAUGCAGGUUCGAAUCCUGCACUUUCCGCCA
rnacentral:tRNA from 1 species